rnacentral:rRNA from 1 species
AUGCACAACGUGGUGCAGGUGGGAGAAGGCGACUACAACUCAUGCAGGGUCUCGGGCCCGUCAAGGACCUACACCUCCGGCAAUGACCACAUCCAGCUUGCCCGCGGAGGCAAAGCGUUCUUCAUCUGCAGCCUUCCGGGUCACUGCCAGCAAGGCAUGAAGAUCGAUGUCACUGCUUAA